rnacentral:piRNA from 1 species
UGGACAAUUUAUUUUGUGACAAUAUUGGA